rnacentral:rRNA from 1 species
AUAUCAAUAAGCGGAGGAAAAGAAACCAACAGGGAUUGCCUUAGUAACGGCGAGUGAAGCGGCAAGAGCUCAAAUUUGAAAUCUGGUCUUUAUGGCCCGAAUUGUAAUUUGUAGAGGAACGUUCGGCGAAGUCUAGGUCUGAUUUUUCUGGAAGGAAAAGCCAAUGAGGGUGAGAGCCCCGUACGACUGAUGAUUGAACCAUGUGUACGUCCUUCGAAGAGUCGAGUUGUUUGGGAAUGCAGCUCAAAAUGGGUGGUAAAUUCCAUCUAAAGCUAAAUAUUGGCCAGAGACCGAUAGCGCACAAGUA